AUUGAACGCUGGCGGCAGGCUUAACACAUGCAAGUCGAGCGGGGACUUCGGUCCUAGCGGCGAACGGGUGAGGAAUGCUUGGGAAUCUGCCUUGUAGUGGGGGAUAACGUUUCGAAAGGAACGCUAAUACCGCAUACGCCCUACGGGGGAAAGGGGGGGAUCUUCGGACCUCCCGCUAGAAGAUGAGCCCAAGUCGGAUUAGCUAGUUGGUGGGGUAAAGGCUCACCAAGGCGACGAUCCGUAGCUGGUCUGAGAGGAUGAUCAGCCACACUGGAACUGAGACACGGUCCAGACUCCUACGGGAGGCAGCAGUGGGGAAUAUUGGACAAUGGGCGAAAGCCUGAUCCAGCCAUGCCGCGUGUGUGAAGAAGGCCUUCGGGUUGUAAAGCACUUUAAGCGAGGAGGAAUGGCUCUGGGUUAAUACCCUUGAGCAGUGACGUUACUCGCAGAAUAAGCACCGGCUAACUCUGUGCCAGCAGCCGCAGUAACAC
rnacentral:rRNA from 1 species